GUCCGUGAACCGCGAGGAAACGUCUCCCCUUGCGGAUCCGGCAAAUACAAGCAAAAGGAG
rnacentral:ncRNA from 1 species